AAGCCAUGGGACUGGAAGGCAGCAGGCAGAUGUCAGGGUUGGGGAUUACUGGCUCAGAAGCAGGAAAUCUCAUGUAGAAGCCCAGAACUUUCAAGAGAUAAGAAGUAGAGAGAUUCUGGUUUAAAGAGAGAUGACAGAAGCCCUGAAUGUCCUCUCUUCUGCUCCCCCAGAUACCUUCAUGGACUACAGGGCUGUACAUACGGGUCAUGGGAUACAUGAACUUCAGGCUUAAUCUCUGUGUGAGAAAAACAGCAUGAAGAUAAUCAACUCUAUGUCAGAAGAAAUUGGCAACACUACUAACCAAGAGUAAUGCACACCGAAGAAUUCACCUUCUUAUGGAGUCACCUUCAUCCCUCUGCUCAGCAAACAUGUCUCUCCUAUAAGCAAAUUCAAUGAGGAAUUUUUCCCCUUUAUUGUUGACACAGUAUCUCUUUACAACGGUGAAGGACAUGUUUGCUUCCUCUUCUGCUAUGAUUAAGUUUCAUGAGGCCUCCCCAGCCCUUCAGAACCUGGCAGCUACGUGCAUGAGCACAGCCUCUGAAAGCAUGCUGUCAGAUGCCGGGUGUGAAACUCUGGCACUUGGGAUUGAUAAGGCUGGCACCAAAAGGAGCGUCCACCACUGGGUGGAUUCCAUUAUUGUUCCUAUGCUACAGGUGAAGAAGGUGAAGCUCAGAGAGAUCAAGUAGGGGUCGAUCUUUGUAAGGUGCCUCAGCUUUUUCAUGGAGAGAGGCUGGGAAGGAAGGCAUUGCAGUUACUUGUUAAUAUUCCUCAGAAUGUUAAUUUACUAUGAAGAUCUACUCCCUGUAGCUGAAGUUCCACUGAGAUGUGAUUAUAUUACCUGAGCGAAUGCUUAUAUUAUCUGGAAUAAGAACUGUUUCAUACUUAUAAGGUUCUUUAAUCUACUCUUGGCAGGUCUAAAUUAAACAAAGUCUAUUAGUUUUCUUCAG
rnacentral:antisense_RNA from 1 species